CACUGAGAAAGAUGCUCAGGCUGGGCUGGCCGCCCUGAAGGGCGUUCAGACCUGCCCCCAGCACAGUUUGCUGACAGUGAGAUUCUUCUUGAUGCAGCACGGUUGUAAAAAAACAAAACAAAAACUAGAAAAGUCUGUCUCUUUUGAAAUAAACCAGGGGAAAGAAAGACAAAUCUGUUUUAUAAUACUGUAGCUCAGGGAUUUCAGAGCAGACAAGAGCUGUGCGGAGUGUUUUACGUAAACUAAAACUUCAGAGCCGUCUGACAGCAAAGCCAGCAUCCGUCUCUGCACCCAGCGCACUGUGACGGGGUUUGAGGCCCUGAUGAAUGAGAAGGGCCUGGGAGGCCGGGAUAUAUGGAUAAUCUACGUACCUUCGCUCAAUUUUUUCCUUGAACCAAAAACUGCUAAAAAGGGGGGGAGGGGAGAGCCUCGUGUAUGGCCAUUUUCAUGCGCAGUUGUCACCAAGGUCCCAGCACCUAGAAGGACCUGUGGCUGGUUUAAUGACAAAGUCAGUCCUGUUUUGCAUUCCCCCCACUACCACAAGCAUCUUUUAACGUUUAAUUAGCAUAAUGAAUUAAAGUAAUUUAUUAUUAAAAGUAAUAAAGUAAGUUUGCACCUAGGAAUGUCACCUCACAUUUAGCUUUGUACAGCUUGUGUCAAUAGUGAGCUUGAGACCUCGACGCCCUGGUUUCAGAUGUUUCGCAAUUAUUUGCAAGUAUUAUACGUUUUCCAUAUUUUAUGCCCUUUAAGAGACCUUUUUAAAACCCACACAGUGCAAACAAGGCCUUGAGAAAGAGGAAGCUAAUUUACCGUGUGGCUCUGAUGUAACCUCAAAUUGCAUCCUCGGUAAUUAAAAAGAAAUUUUGGUAAUUAUUUAUUGUGUUACUAUAAAUGUGUCAAAUAAUUUAUUGAAAAGACUGCCCAGCAAAACAGGAAGUUCUCAUGUAUCGGACUCUCCUGAGUAGAAAAUUCCUGAAGGGUGUGUUUUAAUAUAGUCAAAUCUCAUUUUAAAUAUACUAAGAGAGCUUGUUAUUAAAGGAAUUCUCUGGGAAGGAGUUCUUUUCUAAAGCAAAUAUCACCUUACAGUUUAUCCAUUCUGUUAGUCUAGGUUUCUGUGGGCUCAUUCUACCUAAAACAAUCUAAUUACACUGGCCUUUGACUAGAAUGUGGGUUGGUGAGGUCCCUGAUCAAUCCUCAUCAAGUGCAGUUUGCUUUGGCUGGUCCCUAGACAAGGACAGGACACACGGCUGCUGCUGACUGAUGCAAACACACACCUGCGACCCAAAGGAGGAAUGGUGAGAGUUCUAGAGGAAGAAGACACGAUAGAAUAGGGAUGGAAGAAGAACUCUGAAUGUACCUCCUUAUCUACUUCCGGCUUUGGAAAUGUUCAUCCUAUAUAAUAAAAACCUAAUAUGCUAA